GACGAACGCUGGCGGCGUGCUUAACACAUGCAAGUCGAACGGAAAGGCCCUGCUUUUGUGGGGUGCUCGAGUUGCGAACGGGUGAGUAACACGUGAGUAACCUGCCCUUGACUUUGGGAUAACUUCAGGCAACUUGGGCUAAUACCGGAUAGGAGCUCCUGCUGCAUGGUGGGGGUUGGAAAGUUUCGGCGGUUGGGGAUGGACUCGCGGCUUAUCAGCUUGUUGGUGGGGUAGUGGCUUACCAAGGCUUUGACGGGUAGCCGGCCUGAGAGGGGGACCGGCCACAUUGGGACUGAGAUACGGCCCAGACUCCUACGGGAGGCAGCGGUGGGGAGUAGUGCACAGUGGGCGGAAGCCUGAUGCAGCAACGCCGCGUGCGGGAUGACGGCCUUCGGGUUGUAAACCGAUUUCGCCUGUGACGAGGCGUGAGUGACGGUAAUGGGUAAAGAAGCACCGGCUAACUACGUG
rnacentral:rRNA from 1 species